UCUCCGUUGGUGAACAGCGGAGGGAUCAUUACCGAGUUUACAACUCCCAAACCCAAUGUGAACCAUACCAAACUGUUGCCUCGGCGGGGUCACGCCCCGGGUGCGUCGCAGCCCCGGAACCAGGCGCCCGCCGGAGGGACCAACCAAACUCUUUCUGUAGUCCCCUCGCGGACGUUAUUUUUACAGCUCUGAGCAAUAAUUCAAAAUGAAUCAAAACUUUCAACAACGGAUCCCUUGGUUCUG
rnacentral:misc_RNA from 1 species